GAAAUUAAAAGAAAAAAAAAAGCAGAUGAAAUGGUGUUUUAAUGUACAUUUUUCUAUAUUUGCAUAUCUAUAUAAAGAUAUUUCCCUUUAUUUCUCUCUUUUUUUCAAUUAACAGCUAAGCUGGGAAAAGAAUGCGUGUUAUCCAAGGACAAAGUUUGAAGAUGUGCUAUUAUUGAGAAUAGUCAAAUGUAAAACCAUAAAUAGAAAUUGCCUGCAGCUGUCAUAAUAACUGUCUGGGCAAUAAAAUGGCAGCUAAAAUUCAAUAAGGGCAAAACAACAUAUUAAAGUGUAUGAAGAAAUCAGCUCUAAGCAAACUACUGCCACUCAAGGAGCUCUGCAUACUGAAGCAGCUUCCACAGAUGAGGACUCUAAAGAAGCUCUGGCUAAACCAGAAAACAAGCUACAGACUGAUUUGUCACUUUGCCUGAACCCAACUGUGGACAUGACUAUGGCUAGAACCAGCAGCAUAUUUACCUAUUGCAGUGCUUGCAGGAUAUUGGGAAAUUAAUGUCUCUUUGGAACUUUAUUAAAACAAUGGAUGUGGAAAAUAAUUCUGGUGGAUUUAUAAACAUUCUUACAAAA